rnacentral:rRNA from 1 species
UACAGAGGGGGCAAGCGUUGUUCGGAAUUACUGGGCGUAAAGGGCGCGUAGGCGGCCUGUUAAGUCGAACGUGAAAUCCCCGGGCUCAACCCGGGAACUGCGUCCGAUACUGGCAGGCUUGAAUCCGGGAGAGGGAUGCGGAAUUCCAGGUGUAGCGGUGAAAUGCGUAGAUAUCUGGAGGAACACCGGUGGCGAAGGCGGGUCUCUGGGCAGUAACUGACGCUGAGGAGCGAAAGCGUGGGGAGCGAACAGG